UCCGGAGUAGCUCAGCGGCAGAGCAGGUGACUGUUAAUCACUUGGUCGCUGGUUCGAAUCCAGCCCGAGCAGCCA
rnacentral:tRNA from 1 species